rnacentral:rRNA from 1 species
GCGUGAAUUAAUGUGAAUUGCAGGACACAUUGGACAUCGACAUCUUGGACGCAUAUUGCGGCUCCGGGUCACUCCCGAGGCCACGUCUGUCUGAGGGUCGGCGAAUAGCACUCGCAAGCGCAAGGCUUGCGCCUUGGCACGUCGGUUGAUGCGGUGGUCAAUCGUCGAGCCCGAGAGAAAGCCACGGGUGUUCGUCGUUUCUAAACUCACCCUUGUAUCUUCCUUUGCGAUGCUUUUGUGCACCUGCGAUGGGAGUCGCUGCUCGAUUUGGCUUGUUGGUCGAGGAAGGGGCCCCCAGCGCUCUCGUCGCAAGCUCUAUGGUGUGCGAAGGCGUUUUGCUUAGGCUAGAUGUACGCUGCUUGUAUAAGGGAGAGCGAGAGAAAGCACUCGGCGGUAGAAGCCCCAAAGUCUCUGGUAGUAAAAGAAAGCCAGCUCGGGCUGUUCUUUUCCCUCGGCAAAGAGAGAGACGAAACGAAAAA